AUUAAGUCCUUUAAAUUGUAAUUCCAGAUUAGCCUGUGCACACUGAACAUACAUUAACUCCUAUUAAAUUGUCAUUCCAGAUUAGCCUGUGCAGACUGCACAUACAUUAAAUCCUAUUAAAGUGUCAUUCCAGAUUAGCAUGUGCAGACUGCACAUACAUUAAGUCCUAUUAAAGUGUCAUCCCAGAUUAGCCUGUGCAGACUGCACAUACAUUAAGUCCUAUUAAAGUGUCAUCCCAGAUUAGCCUGUGCAGACUGCACAUACAUUAAGCCCUAUUUUUCCAGAAUGAGGCUCAUAUAGUUUACUUAACAUCAGUCCUUUUAUGUGCCUGAUUAAGAAAAAGGUCCAAGCAUCAAAUGGUAAGUAGGUGUUUUUAAUAUUAAUCAACUUAAUAAAUAAAUAGCAAAUAGCAAUUGAUCAGGUUUAAUCAUGAAAGGUCAAGGCAUAGUUUUGUCUACGUUUCGGCCGAAAUUCAGCCCUUGAACGAAGCAUUUAUCCUUGCAUAUAAAAUCCGCUGUAAUAGACUUGUUAAAUUUUAUUUAUGCCCCCCUUCGAAGAAGAGGGGGUAUAUUGCUUUGCUCAUGUCGGUCUGUCGGUCGGUCUGUCGGACGGUCUGUCGGUCCGUCCACCAGGUGGUUGUCAGACAAUAACUCAAGAACGCUUGGGCCUAGGAUCAUGAAACUUCAUAGGUACAUUGAUCAUGACUCGCAAAUGACCCCUAUUGAUUUUGAGGUCACUAGGUCAAAGGUCAAGGUCACGGUGACCCGAAAUAGUAAAAUGGUUUCCGGAUGAUAACUCAAGAAUGCAUACGCCUAGGAUCAUGAAACUUCAUAGGUAGAUUGAUCAUAACUCGCAGAUGACCCCUAUUGAUUUUGAGGUCACUAGGUCAAAGGUCAAAGUCACAGUGACCCGAAAUAGUAAAAUGGUUUUCGGAUGAUAACUCGAGAACGCAUAUGCCUAGGAUCAUGAAACUUCAUAGGUAGAUUGAUCAUGACUUGCAGAUGACCCCUAUUGAUUUUGAGGUCACAAGGUCAAAGGUCAAGGUCACGGUGACCCGAAAUAGUAAAAUGAUUUUCUUAUGAUAACUCAAGAACGCUUUUGCCUAGGAUCAUGACACUUCAUAGGUACAUUGAUCGUGAUUCGCAGAUGACCCCUAUUGAUUUUCAGGUCACUAGGUCAAAGGUCAAGGUCACAGUGACAAAAAUCGUAUUCACACAAUGGCUGCCACUACAACGGACAGCCCAUAUAGGGGGCAUGCAUGUUUUACAAACAGCCCUUGUUUAAUUUUAGCAAAACAUUUAUUUAAAUGACUUCAUCACAUUAUACAAUUAUUCCCUUCAAUAUUUAUUUAAGUUCCUGAAUUUUGUUUUAAGAGCCGGUUCCUACAGGAUCCCAUGCAGUCAUAGAUCGGUACCCAGCUGAACAACAAUUUGUCUGGUAAGCUGGGCCCGGAUAGGUGCAGCCAGUCUAAAGCUGGGGCUCCAAACUUUCCUGCCAAGUGGGUUAAUAUUACCUCUUCUACAAGAAUGAAUUAAUUAUUUGGUUUACAUGGACAUAUGUCAGUGAUGCGCAAAGAGCUGGUUUUCUGUUCACAGAGAAAUAUCCUAACAACUCCAACUCAGCCACUACAUCUCAAUAGACAACCCGAAUAUCAAGGCGUUAAGUUUCUUCUGGAUGCAGUUACACUCACAGCUUUCAAGCCAGCAGCUGUUGAUUUAUUGAGAUUUUCUCUUCUCUAUGUUACCUGACCUGCUGCCUGUGAACAUCCUGCGCAUAGAACCUUUAUCUCAUUCGAUGUAAUUAAACCGGCCAAUCAAAAAGACAGCCUGUUACAGCACUUGUCAUUAGAUUGACGCCAUGCAUGCCUUUGAAGAUCAUUUAUACAUACAAUUUAAGCAUGAUAGUCAAUAAGUGCCUGCGUUGGCUUCUUAAACGACUCGCAGUCCUGAGCAUUUACGAUGGAAUUCUUCAUCUUGAAAUAUUGGGAAGGCAGGAAAACGCCUGUCACUGUUAAGACAAAAAUGAGGGAAUGACAAAGAACAAUAAGACCAGCCAAGUCCUGUGACCAGCCAAGUCCUGUGAUCAGUCAAGUCCUGUGAUCAGCCAAGUCCUGUGACCAGCCAAGUCCUGUGACCAGCCAAGUCCUGUGACCAGCCAAGUCCUGUGACCAGUCAAGUCCUGUGAUCAGCCAAGUCAUGUGAUAAGCCAAGUUUUAGGAUCAGCUUUGUUCUGUGGCCAGCCAAUUCAUGCGACACGCCAAGUGUUUUUACCAGCCAUGUCCUAUGACCAGCAGCUUUGUCUCGUGUGUACAGUCUGAUUGUAUGGGAAGAAAAAUCUACAUUUCAUAUUGUAUGGGUAUAAUGAUACUGACAGUAUCUUGAUGAUUAAGUAUUUUGUUAUAUAUUGGUGAAACUUAGUAAUAGCAGUAAUGUAAAGUAUUAUUUCAAGAGCAAACUAAUGCAAGUACUACUAUUUUGUCUGUAUUCAGAAACUGACUCUAUAUAGCUUUAUCCUGAUUAUCGUAAACAGACAGACAAAAUGAUUGUACAAUUGUUUUUUUUAAACAUUGAUUUUAAGCCUUCACAAAGUUGUUUAAAUAAUGCUGAUACCUUGGACAAUAUUUAACUAAUUUAUUGUAUAAACAUGCUUAUUUUUAGUUUUUACCUAUAAAAUAGCAAUAUGUGCUAGGUAAAAUAAUUGAUCAGAACGGUUCAUAAUUGUGAUGCUUCUAUUUUGAUAUGUCUGUCAUUCUGUUCGUGUACAUUUAUCAUCAGUUUGCUCUUUUUAGGCAGUAUUUUAUCAAGAAUUUCAUGUAGUGAUGUAAUAGUAAAAUAUCAAAUAAUAAUUUGAUUUAUUCAAACUAUAUUAACCUUCUGUUAAUUAUCAAUUUAUUUAUUGACAACAGAUACUUUGUUUAAUAUAAACAAUAGUUAAGCGCGUUAUAAAAAUUGUGUGAAUGUACAUGCAUAAUAUUGCUAUAAUUAAUGCACACAUUAAUGGAAAAACCAUUUAAAUAAAGUAAAAUUUAGAAGUGCAUCUUAAUUGUAUUGGAUUUUGUUUAUUUAUUAAAAAAGUAUGCUUUCAUUGUUGAAAAUAUGAUAGUAAUUCCUCCACAAGUAAUUUUGUUUCGAAGUGAGUAUUUUCGUGAAUAAUGAUCCUAGAUAUGGUUGUAGAUUGUUCUUGUUGUAUCAUAUUCUGACAGGCUCAUCAUUUAUGUUGACAUUUGCAUUCUAGCAUUAGAAGUUCAUUAUGCUUUAAAUAUUUGUAUGUACACAUUUGCGACCAGCUUUUCUAAUGUAAUAAGCGAAUAAUGUAACACAGACUUAUGUGUCACUGUAUACAUGUAUAUGUUUAUUUUGUCAUUUGUAAAUAGAUCAACUGCAAAGCUAAUGUUUUUGUUUGUACAUUAUUCAUAGAAUGUUGCCAUUUCAAACAGAUACAUUCACUGUUUGAAUUCAUUUGUACAAAAUUGUUUCAUAUUAAACAUCAUUUACAUAUCAGGCAAUAGAGAAAAAGAAUUGCUUUGGAUGAAUGAGCACAUUAACCUGUAUAGUAAAUUAAGACAUGCAGAAUAUCAGAUCAUUAACAUAAUAAUAUACUUUAAGCAUUAGAAACACCUUGUUUUAUGUCAAGCUUUUCAGUGAAUAUAAUUAAGCAACUAUUAUCUGGAAAUUUGGAAAACAGUGAAGAACGAUUCAAGGGAGAGCAACUGUGAUAUACUAAAUAAAAGUCGUCUCCCUUGUUAGAGUAUAAUUGUACCUCUCAACGUAACAAGAACAUUGAAUCUUUUUUUAUAUUAUUCCACACUAUAAACUAUAUAGUAUAUUCAUUCAAUAAUCACUAAAGAAAUAUGGUUUGCAUAAUUGUUUAUUUCUAUGCGUUAUACCAAAUUCACCAGUAUGGCAUCAAUUUAAGUUCAUCAUAUUUUUAUUGCCAAAAUUGGCCAUACAGUGCUAAAAAUUUGGUAUUCUGACUAUUAUUAGUGCAUGUUCUCAUACAAUAUCACAUUGUAUAUUAUAACACCGAAGCAAUUCUGACUAUUAUUAGUGCAUGUUCUCAUACAAUAUCACAUUGUAUAUUUUAACACUGAAGCAAUAUGUGUUAAUAUAUUAAUUUUUUUUUAUUGACUUGUUGUUGCUUGUUAAGGUGUCUAAUUUUGAAUUAUAGCUGUAAAUUGAUUGUGACUAUUUUCCAGUUUUGAAUGAUUGCUUUUAGUUGAUUGUUUACAAGUUUUGUAAAAGCUGUUUUCAUGUUGACUGCUCCACAUUAAAUGUCGUUGACGCACAUUCACUGCGGCCAGGUUCCGUAAAACUCCCAUCUCAUCUGAUGUCUUAUGACUGGAUUCCAUACAUAGUGGUUGUUUAUACUCAGCUUGCUUUGCAUUAAACAUGUCUGCUUUGUUGUUGAACAAUUAUACACAGCUUUUUAUUAGACAAAAUUGUGUAAUAUUUCAAAUUUUUGAUAUCAAUUUUUUAUUUCGAACAAAAAUAUAUUUUGUUUAUUUGUAUGUAUAUUUAGCUAGAAUAAAAUUGUUUCUAUAAUAUAUAAACAACAUAUUUAUAAGCAAUAAACUAUAUUGGUAAAAGUAGAUUUAAGGUUCAAAAUCAUGUCUUAAUUUGUUUGAUUAUCCCAAAUUAACAUUUUGCAAAAGCAAAACUUGUUGAAUAAAGAAAACUUAAUGCAACGUACCACCAGGUCUUUUAACCAUUGAUUGUGUAUCACUAACGAUCAGGACUUUAUCAGGGAUUAAUAAUUGCCUUUGCAUGGCUAUAAUGUUUGUGUUAUUGAAUUGAAUAAUUUCUGUAGUUUGGUGCACAUUAAUUGUUGUUUUUUUAAAGACAUACCACAUGUCAUUUAAUAUAGUAUCAUUGUAGUUUUGGUAUGUUUAGGGAUAUAAUCAUGUUAAUGUAUGUGAUUUGCUGAUCCAUUUCUUGUUGUUUCACUCCAUUUAAUGUAUAUAGCCAUGCAUAGAGCAGGAAUCUUGUUGUACUGUGAAACAAAUGUUGUUAUAGUAAAUAAAAAAUGUAUGUUAA